UACGUAGGGGGCGAGCGUUGUCCGGAAUUACUGGGCGUAAAGGGCGCGUAGGCGGCCCGUUAAGUCUGCGGUGAAAGCCCGGGGCUCAACCCCGGAGGGUCCGCGGAGACUGGGGGGCUGGGGGGUCGGAGGAGGAGCGGGGAAUCCCGGGUGUAGCGGUGGAAUGGCGUAGAGAUCCGGGGGAACACCGAUGGCGAAGGCACCGCUCUGGCCGACGACCGACGCUGAGGCGCGAAAGCUGGGGGAGCGAACGGG
rnacentral:rRNA from 1 species